rnacentral:rRNA from 1 species
AUUGAACGCUGGCGGCAGGCCUAACACAUGCAAGUCGAGCGGAUGAAGGGAGCUUGCUCCUGGAUUCAGCGGCGGACGGGUGAGUAAUGCCUAUGAAUCUGCCUGGUAGUGGGGGAUAACGUCCGGAAACGGGCGCUAAUACCGCAUACGUCCUGAGGGAGAAAGUGGGGGAUCUUCGGACCUCACGCUAUCAGAUGGGCCUAGGUCGGAUUAGCUAGUUGGUGGGGUAAAGGCCUACCAAGGCGACGAUCCGUAACUGGUCUGAGAGGAUGAUCAGGCACACUGGAACUGAGACACGGUCCAGACUCCUACGGGAGGCAGCAGUGGGGAAUAUUGGACAAUGGGCGAAAGCCUGGUCCAGCCAUGCCGCGUGUGUGAAGAAGGUCUUCGGAUUGGAAAGCACUUUAAGUGGGGAGGAAGGGCAGUAAGUUAAUACCUUGCUGUUUUGACGUUACCAACAGAAUAAGCACCGGCUAACUUCGUG